GGUCGCAUGGUCUAGCUGUUUAGGACGCCUUCCCUGUCACGCAGGAGAUCGCGGUUUCGAGCCCCGCUGUGACCG
rnacentral:tRNA from 1 species